AGAGUUUGAUCCUGGCUCAGGAUGAACGCUAGCGACAGGCUUAACACAUGCAAGUCGAGGGGCAGCGGGGGAGUAGCAAUACUCCCGCCGGCGACCGGCGCACGGGUGAGUAACACGUAUGAAACCUGCCCGUAGCAGGGGGAUAAGCGGAAGAAAUUCCGUCUAAUACCGCGUAACAACCCUUGGAGGCAUCUCCUCGGGUUUAAAGGGUAACACCGGCUACGGAUGGCCAUGCGGCGCAUUAGCUAGUUGGCGGGGUAACGGCCCACCAAGGCGACGAUGCGUAGGGGUUCUGAGAGGAAGGUCCCCCACACUGGUACUGAGACACGGACCAGACUCCUACGGGAGGCAGCAGUGAGGAAUAUUGGUCAAUGGGCGCGAGCCUGAACCAGCCAAGUCGCGUGAGGGAAGACGGUCCUAUGGAUUGUAAACCUCUUUUGUCGGGGAGCAAAAGACGCCACGUGUGGCGUUCCGAGAGUACCCGAAGAAAAAGCAUCGGCUAACUCCGUGCCAGCAGCCGCGGUAAUACGGAGGAUGCGAGCGUUAUCCGGAUUUAUUGGGUUUAAAGGGUGCGCAGGCGGAAGAUCAAGUCAGCGGUAAAAUUGAGAGGCUCAACCUCUUCGAGCCGUUGAAACUGGUUUUCUUGAGUGAGCGAGAAGUAUGCGGAAUGCGUGGUGUAGCGGUGAAAUGCAUAGAUAUCACGCAGAACUCCGAUUGCGAAGGCAGCAUACCGGCGCUCAACUGACGCUUAUGCACGAAAGUGUGGGUAUCGAACAGGAUUAGAUACCCUGGUAGUCCACACAGUAAACGAUGAAUACUAAUUGUUCGGGGAGAAUGAUCCCUGAGUGAUACAGCGAAAGCGUUAAGUAUUCCACCUGGGGAGUACGCCGGCAACGGUGAAACUCAAAGGAAUUGACGGGGGCCCGCACAAGCGGAGGAACAUGUGGUUUAAUUCGAAGCAACGCGAAGAACCUUACCAAGCCUUGACAUCUAUCUGACAGAGCAUGUAAUGUGCUUUCCCUUCGGGGCAGGUAAGACAGGUGGUGCAUGGUUGUCGUCAGCUCGUGUCGUGAGAUGUUGGGUUAAGUCCCGCAACGAGCGCAACCCUUAUCCUUAGUAGCCAGCACUUCGGGUGGGCACUCUAGGGAGACUGCCAGGGAUAACCUGGAGGAAGGCGGGGAUGACGUCAAAUCAUCAUGCCCCUUAUGAUCAGGGCUACACACGUGCUACAAUGGCGUAAACAAAGGGAAGCGAGACGGUGACGUUGAGCAAAUCCCAGAAAUAACGUCCCAGUUCGGAUUGUAGUCUGCAACCCGACUACAUGAAGCUGGAAUCGCUAGUAAUCGCGAAUCAGAAUGUCGCGGUGAAUACGUUCCCGGGUCUUGCACACACCGCCCGUCAAG
rnacentral:rRNA from 1 species